CCCAGCUUGCUGGGUGGAUUAGUGGCGAACGGGUGAGUAACACGUGAGUAACCUGCCCCUGACUCUGGGAUAAGCGUUGGAAACGACGUCUAAUACUGGAUACGACUGCCGGCCGCAUGGUCUGGUGGUGGAAAGAUUUUUUGGUUGGGGAUGGACUCGCGGCCUAUCAGCUUGUUGGUGAGGUAAUGGCUCACCAAGGCGACGACGGGUAGCCGGCCUGAGAGGGUGACCGGCCACACUGGGACUGAGACACGGCCCAGACUCCUACGGGAGGCAGCAGUGGGGAAUAUUGCACAAUGGGCGAAAGCCUGAUGCAGCAACGCCGCGUGAGGGAUGACGGCCUUCGGGUUGUAAACCUCUUUUAGUAGGGAAGAAGCGAAAGUGACGGUACCUGCAGAAAAAGCACCGGCUAACUACGUGCCAGCAGCCGCGGUAAUACGUAGGGUGCAAGCGUUGUCCGGAAUUAUUGGGCGUAAAGAGCUCGUAGGCGGUUUGUCGCGUCUGCUGUGAAAUCCCGAGGCUCAACCUCGGGCUUGCAGUGGGUACGGGCAGACUAGAGUGCGGUAGGGGAGAUUGGAAUUCCUGGUGUAGCGGUGGAAUGCGCAGAUAUCAGGAGGAACACCGAUGGCGAAGGCAGAUCUCUGGGCCGUAACUGACGCUGAGGAGCGAAAGCGUGGGGAGCGAACAGGAUUAGAUACCCUGGUAGU
rnacentral:rRNA from 1 species